rnacentral:rRNA from 1 species
AUUGAACGCUGGCGGCAGGCCUAACACAUGCAAGUCGAGCGGAUGAAGGGAGCUUGCUCCUGGAUUCAGCGGCGGACGGGUGAGUAAUGCCUAGGAAUCUGCCUGGUAGUGGGGGAUAACGUCCUGAAACGGGCGCUAAUACCGCAUACGUCCUGAGGGAGAAAGAGGGGGAUCUUCGGACCUUACGCUAUCAGAUGAGCCUAGGUCGGAUUAGCUAGUUGGUGGGGUAAAGGCCUACCAAGGCGACGAUCCGUAACUGGUCUGAGAGGAUGAUCAGUCACACUGGAACUGCGACACGGUCCAGACUCCUACGGGAGGCAGCAGUGUGGAAUAUUGGACAAUGGGCGAAAGCCUGAUACAGCCAUGCCGCGUGUGUGAAGAAGGUCUUCGGAUUGUAAAGCACUUUAAGUUGGGAGGAAGGGCAGUAAGUUAAUACCUUGCUGUUUUGACGUUACCAACAGAAUAAGCACCGGCUAACUUCGUG